rnacentral:lncRNA from 1 species
AAAAUAUUAUAAUGUUUUGAUCAACGAAUAAAAAUGGAUGAUGGUUUAUGGUUACAGAUAAAUGCUGCCGCCUCUGAAUUUCAAAAAAAAUUUGCCACCCGAAGCGAUGGUACCCCCUUGUCCACCUAAAAAUACGUCUCUGCGAAGGAUACUUCGAGUGACUUCAAUUUACCAUAAGAAGGAUAGAAGAUUCGAUACGGACAGACGCGUAGGACCAGUAUGUGGCUCAGUCAGACGUGAUCCGCAUUGGAAAUGACCGCAUAUCGUUCACCGACGGUUAGUGGUGUGCUAUACGUAGAUAUCUCUAUAUGCGAAACAAUCAACAGUAGGACCGUCGAUCGCAUCAAUUGGGAACAUUGAUAGGUUAAUCGUCCUUUUCCCCCAGCGCAUCAGGAAUUGGCGACACUAACAUAAGUUGAUAGUGUGAAUAGUUCGUGGACAGAACUGGUUUGAAAAAUUAGUAUGGCCCAUAAACAACGGACACGUUAUGUCCAAGUAGAUGUGUUGUGAGAAGUGUGGUGAAGGGGAACACGAUUGCGGUUUUAGCGCUUCAACAGUUGUGUGUGGUUCGACGGAAGGAAGAACCGAAAUACCAUUCAUGAAUUAAAACAACCGAUAAUAUUUGUCAAGUUCAUUGCUUUCUUGCGGAUACAAGGCCAAAGCGGAUGAGGAAGCUGAACAUCAAGGAAACCUUUUACAUUAUGGUAGUUGAAAAUAAAAAUUUGCUUCGUCAAAGCAGGGUUGAACGUGUGAUGAACGAAAACGUGAAUUUGAAUUGACCCCUAAUUGUGGAUUAGAUUGAAGAUACCAUAAUAAAAAACCACAUCUUGUGUUUUAGCUCAUGCUUCUUUACUUAUCGAUAGGAAUUCAUCUGUUUUAUGAACCAAAUAUGGGCGCAACUAGAGCUCAAAUAUUGAGAGUGCUGAAAUUGUCGAAAGUAAAAUUUAAUGGUAUUCAACUGGUAUUACUAUAGAUUAUAUAGAUCUGAAGAAAAAAAAACAGGAGUGCUACAUUUGAACUCGGGGGUCCUAAAACCCCUAUUGCGCCCCCCUAGUUGCGCCUACGGAACCUAAGGUGGUGUAGAAACGUUAUAUUGUAUAU